GGGGAGACUAGAUCGAUGGGGCUGCACAGAGGUGGCACAGUUGUGCCAGAGGGCCAGACUUUGGCAGCGUGUAAGGUCUGAGGACAGGGGCACCGGAGGCCGAGGAUGAGAGGCCAGUGCCUGUUUCCAGGCAGCCAGGGCCUCAGAAACUCCGGCCGGAGCACUCACCCGUCGGUGGAGGCCGUUACCAGGGCCACCUUAUUCGCGAGCGGGUCCCGGCGGGUCAUCCCGGAGCUGGCCAUCCGCACCGAAUUCCAAGCCCGGGCACAGAGGCCUAGCAGCCCCGUCUUGUGCAUGGCUCAGACCAGCAAGUGCCACUUCGGAUAAACCCUUUGGACUCCUAACUCCAAUCAGGUGUCUGCUUUGUUGAGGACUCACAGACACAGUCUCCUUUCUUCAAGAUCUUUACAAUGCAAGACCUCACUAACACACAGGGGAUGGUCUCCCAGAGGGUCUGUGCUGUUCCUUCACUCAGAACAUCAAGAUGCACUUAAGUAAGGAUCCUCUGUUCUACGGUUCCUGCUAGCUGAGCUAUUCCAUGGGGGCUUCAGCAGGAAAUUCCAAGGUUGGCUUUGACAAGCUAAGGCCGGCUGGUGGAGCACAUCGAGUUCUGGAGGUUCAUGUGUGUUUUCAUGAAGAUCUGUCUGCCAGUAGCAGAUAAAGAGUUGUUGCCCCACUCCUCCUGGGGUCUUCUAUUUUCCUGGGAGGAAUUUCUGGAUUAACUGAACACACACACACACACACACACACCCCUUUGAAGCAUCAACAGUAAUUCUGAGUUCUUAGGGACAAUGCAGAUUAAAUCCACAAUAAGAAAGACAACUAUGGCCAGGUGCGGUGGCUCACGCCUGUAAUCCCAGAACUUUGGGAGGCUGAGGCGGAUGGAUCACCUGAGGUCAGGAGUUAGAGACCAACCUGACCAACAUGGAGAAACCCCGUUUCUACUAAAAAUACAAAAUUAGCCGGGCAUGGUGGCAGGCGCCUGUAAUCCCAACUACUCAGGAGGCUGAGGCAGGAGAAUCGCUUAAACCCGGGAGGCAGAGGUUGCAGUGAGCCAAGAUCGCGCCAUUGCACUCCAGCCUGGGCAAGAAGAGCAAAACUCCAUCUCAAAAAAAAAAAA
rnacentral:antisense_RNA from 1 species